rnacentral:rRNA from 1 species
CCUACGGGAGGCAGCAGUAGGGAAUAUUGCACAAUGGGGGAAACCCUGAAGCAGCAACGCCGCGUGGAGGAUGAAGUAUUUCGGAAUGUAAACUCCUUUUGUGAGGGAAGAUAAUGACGGUAUCUCACGAAUAAGCACCGGCUAACUCCGUGCCAGCAGCCGCGGUAAUACGUAGGGGGCAAGCGUUACUCGGAAUCACUGGGCGUAAAGAGUGCGCAGGCGGGCGUGUAAGUCAGAUGUGAAAUGCCGUAGCUUAACUCCAGAACUGCAUUUGAAACUAUGAGUCUAGAGUGUGGGAGAGGUAGGUGGAAUUCUUGGUGUAGGGGUAAAAUCCGUAGAUAUCAGGAGGAAUACUCAUGGCGAAGGCGACCUACUGGACCAUAACUGACGUUCAGGCACGAAAGCGUGGGGAGCAAACAGGAUUAGAUACCCUAGUAGUC